UUGUUCUUGUUCUUAUAUUAUUUCAUAACACGUUAUCAGCACGAGUCUCUAACCAAUUGAAUUUGAUUUCUUCCUCCUACAGAAUUUUUAUACGGAAAAAUUAAGAAGAGCAGAAGGACGAGUAUUGUUGUUGUUGUCUUGUUGAAGAUGAUAGAAUAGUUAUUUCUUGGAUUAUAGUUCUUAUCUCCCUAUACGCAUUAUUGUUCAUAGGCCUCAAUUCUUAUUUAUUCUUCACAAUCUGUUUUCACUGUAUGCUUUUGUCCUUCUUAUUGUUUUGUAGAAUGAUGCUCCGAAGAAUAAUAAGGUACAAGAAAUUAUUUUCUUGAAGAUUGGAUUGUCUUUUGAACUUUGUGUACAGGAACAAUCCAAUGGAAUGGGACAGUGGAAAGAAAGCAUUGUCAUAACUUGACUUUAGCAAAGACGAUAAAUUUUGAUUGCAACUCUAAUGGAGUUUGUAAGAAAUUACACUCACAUG
rnacentral:lncRNA from 1 species